AUGGUUGCAUGUGAUUUUGAUCUGAAUUUCACAUUUAUUUCAUGUGGGUGGGAAGGAUCCGCAUCAGAUGCAGGAGUUCUUCGUUCUGCUAUUAGCAAGGGGUUUCAUGUGCCGGAAGGAAAAUUUUAUCUCGUAGAUGGUGGAUAUGCAAACACGCCUUCUUUUCUUGCACCAUAUCGAGGAGUUCGGUAUCACCUGAGUGAAUUUAGGAGGCGACGCUCAUCUAAUACGGGCUAUGCCGACCAUAGGGAGCUGUUCAACCAUACCCAUGCAAUUCUCCGGAACCACAUCGAAAGGAGCAUUGGUGUUCUAAAAAAACGGUUCCCUAUCUUGAAAGUGGGCAAUCACUACCCUAUAGAGUCACAAAUCAAGAUUCCGGCGGCAUGUGCUGUAUUCCAUGACAUCAUUAGAGCUCAAAGUGGUGAUGAGGCAUGGUUGGAUCACCAACCACCAUUAAUUCCACCAGAAACAUAUGUUGAUGUUCCAGAGGGAGAUGAUGUCAACCAACAUCAUCACAAUGAGGCAAAUAAUGGAUACACUCUUAGAGAUCAGAUCGCGAUGCAAAUGUGGGCUGAUUAUAACAACUAG
rnacentral:rRNA from 1 species